ensembl:lncRNA
CGUCAAUAGCCAGUGCGGGCAGAGAACGACUCAGGCCGUUCUCACCAACAGCGACUUCCUUCCUUCAUGAGGCACACGAAAGUGGCAGCUUCUGAAUCAAGAACUGCCGAGGAGGAGCCUCGUCACAGCCUCACCACGGGUGUCCUUGGUCUCCAGGCUUGGCUCGGAAGGUGCGGGGCCACAGUUCAGCCGUCAAGGAACUAAUUCCUGGCUUCUGCCCAGGCAAGAGGAAAACACUGCCAAUCUCAAUCUGUGAGUCCGUGGAAAUAGUGUCAGCAGAGCCCCAGGUAACAGGACUGCCCACGUGGCGCUACUGAUAAAGAAUCCGCCUGCCAAUGCAGGAGACAGAGGAGACCUGAGUUUGCUCCCUGGGUCAGGAAGAUCCCCUGGAGGAGGGCACGGCAAUCCACUCCAGGAUUUCCUGGAGCUUUAGAGGGCCUUCAUGUUUGCCAUCAUCUCCUACACAGAUCUCUCAGCAUCUGUAUUGCCAGCUUUGGCGGCUGUUUCAGGCCAAAGAACCAGAAGGUGUACCUAUCAGAAACGUGGAGAUGGUGAAUUUUCACGAAAUGAGCACACCCUUGUGAUUAGCACACUGAUGAAGAAAUAGAAAACGUGACCAAUACCGUGGAAACCCCCUCCUGCUGACUUAUUGAAUCACAAACUGCAUCUCUCUUACUUUGAGCAAGGGAAACCCACAAACCUUUCAAGAAAAGUGUGGCAGCAGAAGAUAACAUCAACGGGGACAGAAAAGGGUAGAAAUAUUAUAAAAUAAAAAUACCUUUCUUUGGACCUACAAGCAAGAAGCAGUAUGGGAAAACCACUCAGCUGUAAACACGGAGUACACUUUAAUCCCAGGGAGGAAUUAUGGGCUCAGAGGGCAGAAUAAAGAGCUGUCAGGAAUUGUUUGUGGAGACAUGGGCCUGAGACCUAAUCAAGGACCCAGCGGCACGUGCAGGGCUGGGCUUUGGAAUGGCUGUGCAUCUCCUGCGACCCCCUUUCGAGUGGGAGCAUCUACAGAGGUCAUCCCGUGCCGUCGCACGACUGCGAGCUGCACAGGCAGAGGGCAGGUCACUAGCUUUUGGAGCCCUGUGCCACCUGGUAGAAGUCUAAGACAGCCAUGCUAUGAGGAACUGCAAGCUUCCUUAGUCAAAAGCAGAGAUGGCAUGACAGGAGAAAUGCCUGGCCAGCCCCCAUUCCACACACCGCUAAUCCCACCAGACACUGUCGCCAGAGCUACUCAGCUGAGCCACUCCAAGUUCCUGAUUCACAAAACCCAUGAGAAAUGCUACUCAAGAGCUUUUGUUUUGAGAUGCUAAGUUUCAGAGUUAAUUAUUACAUAGCACUAGAAAGCUGGAGAAGAACUGACUCAUUGGAAAAGACCCUGAUGCUGGGAAAGAUUGAAGGCGGGAGGAGAAGGGGACAACAGAGGUUGAGAUGGUUGAAUGGCAUCACAAACUCGAUGGACAUGAGUUUGAGUAAACUCCGGGAGUUGGUGAUGGACAGGGAAGCCUGGCGUGCUGCAGUCCAUGGGGUCGCAAAGAGUCAGACACGACUGAGCGACUGAACUGACUGGCUGAGGGAGCUGGAAGAGAUUUUGAUCCCUGUUCAAAAAGUAAGAAAAAAUCGAAUCCUCUACUACAUUUAAACUAAACUAAAUCAAAAUAAAACAGCCUCAGGAAUGGUGGCUGAAAAACACUUCAAGUUUUAGAAAUGUAUUCUGGAACACAAGAGAUUUUGGUUGACUUAAUACACAUCAUCUGUAAUUUAAAGUUACCUGACUGCCUCACACUCCAAUUUACAACUAUGAGACAUAAUACCUG